UGGGGAAUUUUGGACAAUGGGCGAAAGCCUGAUCCAGCAAUGCCGCGUGUGUGAAGAAGGCCUUCGGGUUGUAAAGCACUUUUGUCCGGAAAGAAAUCCUUGGCUCUAAUACAGUCGGGGGAUGACGGUACCGGAAGAAUAAGCACCGGCUAACUACGUGCCAGCAGCCGCGGUAAUACGUAGGGUGCAAGCGUUAAUCGGAAUUACUGGGCGUAAAGCGUGCGCAGGCGGUUUGCUAAGACCGAUGUGAAAUCCCCGGGCUCAACCUGGGAACUGCAUUGGUGACUGGCAGGCUAGAGUAUGGCAGAGGGGGGUAGAAUUCCACGUGUGAGCAGUGAAAUGCGUAGGAGAUGUGGAGGAAUACCGAUGGCGAAGGCAGCCCCCUGGGCCAAUACUGACGCUCAUGCACGAAAGCGUGGGGGAGCAAACAGGAUUC
rnacentral:rRNA from 1 species